CCUACGGGUGGCAGCAGUGAGGAAUAUUGGUCAAUGGACGAGAGUCUGAACCAGCCAAGUAGCGUGAAGGAUGACUGCCCUAUGGGUUGUAAACUUCUUUUAUAUGGGAAUAAAAUGUUCCACGUGUGGGAUUUUGUAUGUACCAUAUGAAUAAGGAUCGGCUAACUCGGUGCCAGCAGCCGCGGUAAUACGGAGGAUCCGAGCGGUAUCCGGAUUUAUUGGGUUUAAAGGGAGCGUAGGUGGAUUGUUAAGUCAGUUGUGAAAGUUUGCGGCUCAACCGUAAAAUUGCAGUUGAAACUGGCAGUCUUGAGUACAGUAGAGGUGGGCGGAAUUCGUGGUGUAGCGGUGAAAUGCUGAGAUAUCACGAAGAACUCCGAUUGCGAAGGCAGUUCACUGGACUGCAACUGACACUGAGGCUCGAAAGUGUGGGUAUCAAACAGGAUUAGAUACCCCAGUAGUC
rnacentral:rRNA from 1 species